GUUUUUAUAGUUAAAAAAAAAAAUAUUGGUCUUGUAAAUCAAAGUUAAGUUAUAUACUUUAAAAACA
rnacentral:tRNA from 1 species